CCUACGGGAGGCAGCAGUGAGGAAUAUUGGUCAAUGGACGAGAGUCUGAACCAGCCAAGUAGCGUGAAGGAUGACUGCCCUAUGGGUUGUAAACUUCUUUUAUAGAGGAAUAAAACGAGGCACGUGUGCCUUUUUGCAUGUACUUUAUGAAUAAGGAUCGGCUAACUCCGUGCCAGCAGCCGCGGUAAUACGGAGGAUCCGAGCGUUAUCCGGAUUUAUUGGGUUUAAAGGGAGCGUAGAUGGGUUGUUAAGUCAGUGGGGAAAUUAUGCGGCUCAACCGUAAAAUUGCAAUUGAUACUGGCAGUCUUGAGUACAGUUGAGGUAGGCGGAAUUCGUGGUGUAGCGGUGAAAUGCUUAGAUAUCACGAAGAACUCCGAUUGCGAAGGCAGCUUACCAGACUGCCACUGACAUUGAUGCUCGAAAGUGUUGGUAUCAAACAGGAUUAGAUACCCCUGUAGUC
rnacentral:rRNA from 1 species